AGCAAGUCACGCCGACGUCGGGUAGUACGAAAAGUAGUAGAUUAUUUAGUUGUAGCCGAAUUUAUCUAAAUUAUAUCGGGCACCUGUACGCUUAAAGCGCGAGCUCGAUUAUACGAUUGUUAGAUCAGGCAUUAUUCGGUGGAGUGCUGGGCAAGCGGCACAAGUCUUGAACUAAAUUCUAUCCCAUCGUAAGUUUAUUUUUUCCACGCGAAUAAGCAGUAAUUAAAUACUUAUUUUCUAUCAGCACAUGCACUAAUCCCUGCCACAGACAGGCCCACAAAGGUUGAUCGACGAAGAAAUAAUUAGUUAGUUGGAUUACAUUUGUGACCAGGGGAGACCAAUUCUUGAAGAGCGUAAGCGCAAUACGAAAUCGUGCGUUUCUGUCGAGAGGUCCCACAAAUCC